rnacentral:rRNA from 1 species
UACGGAGGAUCCAAGCGUUAUCCGGAAUCAUUGGGUUUAAAGGGUCCGUAGGCGGUUUAGUAAGUCAGUGGUGAAAGCCCAUCGCUCAACGGUGGAACGGCCAUUGAUACUGCUGAACUUGAAUUAUUAGGAAGUAACUAGAAUAUGUAGUGUAGCGGUGAAAUGCUUAGAGAUUACAUGGAAUACCAAUUGCGAAGGCAGGUUACUACUAAUUGAUUGACGCUGAUGGACGAAAGCGUGGGGAGCGAACAGG